rnacentral:lncRNA from 1 species
GACGGUGGUGUUCUGGACCUAGCUCGGUCAAGGAGCGGUGGUGAGGUUCUGCCACUGACACGCUCGUAGGCAGAAAGGGGCACCCUGGGGCUGGUGAGGUUUGCAGAGGCUGGAGCCUGUGGUGUUCUGGAGCUGGAGGGAUAGUUUGCAGCAGUUGGUGGUGUGCCAGAGCCUGUGAGACUCAGAGCUGCCAAGGCAGCUGGGGUUCUGGCCCCUGCUAGGUUCACAGCUGGGGCUGUGGGAGUGCGAGGGUCAGCCAGGUUCACAGCCGAAGGUGCCACCGCUGUUCUGGGGCUGGCCAAGUUCAUGGCUGCCGCAGAGGCUGCAGGAAUCCUGCUGGCAAGGUUGGCUGCUGGUGCGGUUCUGAG